GUUGUGGCAAACUGCUUUCUCAAAAUAUCCCAUGUCUCUUUCGCUGAUUUCAACAGAUCCAUCCGCAUGAUCAACAAGUGUACGUCCAUCCUUUCUUCGAAGCAAUUCUAAAUGUUCGUUUUAAGAAAAAGCUCUGGAAAUUCGAAAACAAUCGUAUGGUCCAAAUCAUGUUGAUGUCGCUACGUCUUUAAACGAUCUUGGUGUGGUGUAUGAUAAAACUAGAAACUACGACAAAGCUAUGGAGAUUUACGAAAAGGCUCUAGAAAUUCAAAAACAAUCGUCAGGUCCAAAUGAUGUUAAUGUAGCUACGUCUUUAAAUAAUCUUGGUAAUGUGCUU